CUUCAGGAGUGGAAUACCCCAGUACAGGUAAUGAAAUAUUGCAUUUGUGAUCAUGCAUGAUUUCAUUCAAGAAACAUGCAUUUCAGAUCUUUUGGAAACCAGACUUUCAGGUACAAGAUAUUUCUUGUCCCUGUAAGCUACAUCUGUUCAUGUGCUUUUGAGUACAUGCAUUUGCUUUUCUGUGCUGUGUUUGACUGUUCAUGUGGUUAAAUUUUCUUGAAUUUCCAUCUAAGAAAAUAGCUGAAACAUAAGAGUCUCUCUCUCUCUCUCUCUCUCUCUCUCUCUCUCUCUCUCUCUCUCUCUCUCUCUCUCUCUCUUUGAACACUCCUUUUUCCAUUUCAAAGGGGGUCAUUUUUUUCACUACAUCUGGGCAUGAUCUGCCAACGUUAGUACUAAGUACUCACGGAUUCGAUUAUUCAGCAUGGCGGAUCCGCAGGACUGGUCUGAACAGUACUUGAGGUGGGUCAUAGUAUACCACACCCUCUAAGAAAUUGUCCUUCCGUUCAUACCUCCCCCGUGCAUCAUUUAAUGAAAUUCCCUUCCAGAUUUUAUAGAUAAAAAGAUCAAGAAAAACUUUUUUUUUUUUUAAUGGAGUAUAAAUCAAAUACUAUAGUGAGAUACUUGAGACUGUUCACUGAGUGUUCAUUUACUGUAGAUCUUAAAUUCUUGGCUGAAUGCAUGCCAGUGCACAACGUGGGUCCCCUUCAGCGUUCAGCCUAUUUAUUUGGUCCUGACAACAACAAGCAUGUCAAAGGCAACUUCACGAAGAUAUAUGGAUCCGAACAUUGUUACAAUUGGAAGAGCACGGUGUGAAAUCAUAGGGUAAAGAGCUAGGGAGGUCCUCACCAAUAAAUUUUAGGCUGCUUUUUUUUUAUGUAAUUAUAACAACAGAGAUCAAGCAAACGUCUGCAGCCUUAAAUGAAUAAACGUGAAAUUGUCACAAUGUAUACAGAAGACUGAGAGAGAAAAGGUUCACCGGUCACCGACGAGCAGUACGCGCUGUUGUGCUACACCACUCCCGUGACGCGGUGCGAUUUGGCGCAACAGCACGACCCCGGCCAGACGAUUAGUCGAUCACUUGACCCGCGGUGCUCGUGAGGGGAGACUGGCCAUAAUUGGACCCGUGAGGCACUCUCGCUUAUGUCCGCAAUACAUUAAUACAAAAGAAUACAAGGAGUAUUGUAAUGGAUUCUACAGAGACACAAGUGAAUUUUCCCAGAGAUAAGAGCGAGGAUACACUGUUGAAGUCUCUAGACAGGCUGGAAUUAAAAUAUGAAGUGGCAUUGCAAGAGUGGCAGCAGAUCUCGAAAGUGAUUCAGGAGAAGGAUGAUCCGCAGCCCCUUGGAAGAAGCAAGCACCUUCCCAAGCGACUUCCAAAAUUGGCUACUCUGAGUGACAUCAAUGGGAGCUUGCCAGGUGAGCCAGCUAUUAGGAUGAAGCUUGUGAAGGUAGUGAGUCAGUGCAGGAUGCAGGAGAUGCAGGUCAGGGCACUGGAACAGACUUUGGAAAACCACACAAAGAAGCUGGCAAAUGAGAAAAAACAACAGCUCCAUUUACAACAGCAACUCCAAACUGUUUUACAUGAGAAAGAAGAGGCACAGGAAUUAACACAAAAAAUAAAGGCAAAUUUACAGAGGGAAGCACCUCUUGCUGAAACUGCUGAGAGGGCACUGGCAGAAAAUGCAGAAAAAUUAGCAAAGAUAGAUGAAGAAGUUAUGAAGAUAAGAGGAGAAGCCAUAGACUUGGUGCAGAUGCAUCAGGUUAGAAAUGAAGUGCAGGGACAGGUGGAGGCUUUGUGCAGCAGGGUCACUGAAUUGGAGGAAAAGAAGACAGAAGCACUAGAGAGGAUGAGGAGUUUGCUUGCAGAGGAAACCAUGACUUCCCAAAAUAUGAAAGCUGCUGUCACAGAGGUAUGCACUGAGCAGAAAGAACAUGCAGUUGAGAUGGAUGAGAAGUAUCAUAUUUUAUGGUCCAAUGUAGAGCAGCUGUUGGGGUGCUGUGACAAGUUCCUAGAGCUGACAAUACCUGAAGUAGAGGCUCUCAAAUUAGAUGCUCAUCAAGCUAAUGAAUCAGAUAGAAUACAGACAUUUGUCUCCCACUCCCAGGUUGAAAUUAGAGAUGAUCAUUCAGAAGUUGUAUCUGCAGAAGCUCAGUCUGAUGUCAGUGAAGCACACUCUCCUGGCCAAGAUGUAACUCACCAUGAGGAUUUUUCUCAAAGGGUGGAGUCACUUUCUAUUAGUCUAAUUGAAAGAGAUUGUGAUGAUAACCAUAUUGUAUCUGUGGAUGAUGGUAAUCAGCUUGAUAGUGAGAAUACUGAAGUUCAUUUAGAGCCCAUCACAGAUGAAGAUCAGCAUGAAAGAGAUGCUGGUGCAGAUAAGCAAGAUUUGGAAUUUGCUGAAGUCCAGUCUGUUGCAAAGCAAACAGAAAUUCGGGUUAAACAUCCACUUCCAAAUCAGACUGAGGUUGAUCCUAACACACAUUCUACUUUAGAACUGCUCCUUGAGAGUCCUUCACCUGUUUUGACACAAAAUGAGAGAUCUUAUAAAGUUACAAAAAACUCAACUUCACCUGAAUUUAAUGGAAAUGAUGUAACAGCUACUUCAGAAAUUCAGUUAGAACAUGAUAUUUCACAUGCAGACACAUCAGUAAAUUUUGUAGAAGUGCAAUGCUUUCCUUUUUCAAGUAGAAAUCAGAAAUGUUCUUCACUGAACAAAGAGUUGCUAAUUACUGAGAUUGUUCUUAAUGGGGCUGUUCAAGCUAGCCUUUCUCCCACAAUUGUUUCCCAGAAUAACCAGACCAUAGCAAAUGAGGAAACUACUCCACAAGUCUGUAAUACAGUAAGUACAUGUACAUUAACAAGCAACUUUUCCCAGCCCUGUGUAUCACAUGUGUCUGUUUCUUCAACACUUGACACACUAUGUGUUGGCAGUCACAUAGAAAGCAGAGCAGCAAAUGAAAACACAAUUCCUACACAUACAGAGGAGAAUCAGGCAGAUGAGGUUUCUGCUUUGGCUCUUGAAGUAAUGAAAAAGGGUGCAAACAUAAAACAAAUUGAAGGUUCACCUUCACUUUCUACACACCAAAAGAAAAGUGAUAGUACAACAUCAGCCUGUCAAGGGGAAUGUAUGCCAAACAGUACUAUCAUUUUUUCAACAGAGGAAGAUUCUUCACAAGUAUCUUCAGAUAAUGUUGCUCUGAAUAAUUUUCCUUCAGCCUCACAGACUUUCACCUCAACUAUGGUAAUGCCAAAAGAGUGUUUCUCUUUAACCAACAAACUGAGCACAACUGCUCCACUACAUUUUACCAAAACAGAAGAAAGUAUGGUUUUGCUCUCCUCAGAGAAGCAACAUGAAGAAGCUGAUGAGCUGCCUGAUUUAGACAAACAAAUUUCUUUUAGUAUUUCUACAAAUCUUGUAUCAGACCAGAUGGACAAGCAGCCUGCAAGCUCAGUUUCACAGAUGAGAGAACAUGAGACACUCUUAAGUGAUUCUCUCCAGCAAGAUGAAAGUUAGAAAAAAAUAUUAGAAUGUGGUGAUAUAUCAAAAACCAGAUGUGUCACAAAUGUAGGACUAUUUAUUUACCUACCAAAGAAGGAAGUAGCAUCAUCCAUUUCCAAAAUCUUGAUGCCAGACUGUAAGAUAAAUCUCUGACCUUUCAGGUUUUAGUGGAAACUUGAUAGGAAAUAGAUAAUUGGAAAGGUCAGUGUAAGAUGAAAGGAAGUUGCUAAUUGAUUGCCAUGACUACAUAGACUAAAGAAAAAUAAGUUUUAGUCAUAUUGAUAAGGAAAAGGACAUUACUCAGAAGAUUGGGAACAUCAGAAGACCUACUAGAUACUGUUGCAUCUACCUUGACAAAAUGUUUGUUUGUUUAUUUUGUGUUCAUUACUCUCAUUCUCCAAAUACUCUUGUAAAUCCAUGUUAUGUUAGACAUGGACUCUUGCAGAGAUCAAUAAUGGUAAUAUAAGAGGUCGUUUUCUUCUUUUGUUUAAUAUUUCAUCUCUUGAACCACUGAAUAGUUUCUUAUUUUUUUUUUUAGUUUCUUUUAUACUUGUUUAUUCAUUUACUUGGUUUAUCUUUUUUCAUCUAUUUUAUUUUUAUUUAUAUUUAUUCAUUUAUUAUUAUUAUUGUUAUUAUUUAUUACUACUUUUUUUGCUAUUACUAUCAUUGCAGUACUAUCAUCAGUUAUUUUCAUUAUGUUAAAUGAGUUUUCCGCAGAAAGGGAGAUCUGUAUUUUGCCAUGGAGAAUCUUAAUUAAGUAUAGCCUUGUAAGCGUUGAUGGUCGUGAGCUAGGCCAGACAGAGUACCCUUCCCUUUGCAUUUUGUUAGUAUUUUUAACCAAAUUAAGUGUCAUAAGAUACUGUAGGGAAAACACACUACCAUGAUAAUGUAUACUUGGUACAUAAUAGCUUGCCAAUAAAGAAAACGCUGCCUCUAUUGGCGCGAUGAGGGUUAUGUAACAGUAAAGACCAUUCAUCUGUAAAACCUUGGAAUUUUAUGAUGCGCUGAUUCAAACAACUCUUGCAUUGUUAUCACCAGCGUGGGUCUUUGUCCUCAGCCCAUCAAAAGUCUAGGCAAUUACAUGAGCUGAAUAUACAACUCAUUCUCCAAAGUCUUGUAAAUCCAUGCUAUGUUAGAUAAGGACUUGCAGAUGGAGAUCAAUAAUGGUAAUAUAAGAGGUCGUUUUCUUGUAACUGCUUACGGGUUCUCCACCAAACCUAUUCGGUGUUAACAGGUUAACCACUUUUCCUCCACUCCCUGCCUAGCCACUCCUCACACUUCUCCGCUCUUUAUCUAUGUAUUUAUUCACUUAUUUACUUAUCUUUGUUUUUUUUUCAGUGGAGCCUACGUGAAAAUAUCUCACUUGCCUAAAAAAAUAAAAUCGUAUAAAGAAUUUUCGUAAGAUUGGCCUAUUCAAUGCCAGAAGUGUCUUGACACGUCUCUCUUGAAACUCUAAAUCUUAGGAAAUGGAAAACAAAUAACAAAUAAACAUGGAAAUUUGGCAAAUGGAAUCAUAAAGGGAUCUUGUGUUUAUAUUAGUUGACGUAACGAGUUGUGACGCAUUAGACGGGAUUACGGUCAUUACAUGUGAAAGGGCAGGAGGGAGACGUGAUGUGUGUGUGUGUGUGUGUGUGUGUGUGUGUAAAGGAAGAGUGAGAAGCAGAUAAAAAAAAAAUGAGGUUAUGAGGGAAUUGGCGUGGGAUGGAAGACACUUAAUUACUAUCAAGGUAGUUUCAUUAUCGAAAGGUGACGUGACAUCUUCAUCCGUUGGUCAGGUCACGGAGAUGCUGAUCAAAUGCUUCUAAGCUGUAACUGUGCUUUCUGUUGCUUCAAGGCACAAAUAGCUGUCGUGUCAAAGUGCACGUAAUAUAUUGCAGCUUCGCCCUCCUCCAAGCGGUAAAGUGAGGUAAAGUUGUUGAACGUAUGGGUGUGUUGACUUUUUCGCUCUAUCCACUAAUAUGUUCAGUGUUCCUUGCCUCAAGCUGUGUGCACACUGCCUGCAACUGUGUGAACUGAAUGGUGAUUUGAUGUCACUGUUUGCCCACACUGCUGCUCCUUGUGUUAUUGUGUUAUCGCAAAGACCGCAAAUAAGAGACAAUAACAGCAGAUGUAGAUCAUUGUAUUGUCAUUUAUUUAUAUUGAUCAACUUGUUUUUAUGUUUGCCUGAAAUAUAAGCACAUACAUACACUACCGAAUGACUGAACAAGUCUUCCACACGCUGACGACCACAUUGUAGUACCAGUACGGUGAUGGUUCAUUGAUAUGUUUUGUUUCUUCACUCGUUUGUAAUACAUUGCACUAUUUGGGUACUGCGGCUCAUCCUGCCUUGGGUGUUGCAAGUGUAGGUGUUGUUUGUCUUGGUGAGGAUCGUGUGUAGCUGACGGUGUGACGGUGGAGGCCCGGAGGGAGUGAAUAGUCGAAGCCAAUCCAGGAACGCUUCGAGGCUCCAAAGCGUGUCUCAGCCGAUGUAAAGUCAGGCGUGCGUCUCAUCCGUCUUUCAUUUGGUCUCUGCUCAUCGUCCAGUUCCGAUAUUCUACAGACGGCGAGUGAGGCAGCGUGUGGAUGAGGGAGCUUGGCGUCCUAGCAGCAGUGACACCCUCACCAGGACGAGGAAGCUUGGGUGGUUCAGCUUCUCGUGAACAGAUACGCAUGUAAAUAAAAUGUACAAGAGCUAAAAAUAUGAAUUAAAUAAAUAAAUGCAUUCC